rnacentral:rRNA from 1 species
AACGAACGCUGGCGGCAGGCCUAACACAUGCAAGUCGAACGAAGCCUUCGGGCUUAGUGGCGGACGGGUGAGUAACGCGUGGGAACGUGCCCUUCUCUACGGAAUAGUCCCGGGAAACUGGGUUUAAUACCGUAUACGCCCUUCGGGGGAAAGAAUUUCGGGGAAGGAUCGGCCCGCGUUGGAUUAGGUAGUUGGUGGGGUAAUGGCCCACCAAGCCGACGAUCCAUAGCUGGUUUGAGAGGAUGAUCAGCCACACUGGGACUGAGACACGGCCCAGACUCCUACGGGAGGCAGCAGUGGGGAAUCUUAGACAAUGGGGGCAACCCUGAUCUAGCCAUGCCGCGUGAGUGACGAAGGCCCUAGGGUCGUAAAGCUCUUUCGCCAGGGAUGAUAAUGACAGUACCUGGUAAAGAAACCCCGGCUAACUCCGU